GACGAACGCUGGCGGCGUGCUUAACACAUGCAAGUCGAGCGGUAAGGCCCUUUCGGGGGUACACGAGCGGCGAACGGGUGAGUAACACGUGGGUGACCUGCCCUUAGCUCUGGGAUAAGCCUGGGAAACUGGGUCUAAUACCGGAUAUGACUCCAUGACGCAUGUUGUGGGGUGGAAAGCCUCGUGCGGCUGAGGAUGGGCCCGCGGCCUAUCAGCUUGUUGGUGGGGUGAUGGCCACCAAGGCGACGACGGGUAGCCGGCCUGAGAGGGCGACCAGCCACACUGGGACUGAGACACGGCCCAGACUCCUACGGGAGGCAGCAGUGGGGAAUCUUGCGCAAUGGGCGAAAGCCUGACGCAGCGACGCCGCGUGAGGGAUGACGGCCUGG
rnacentral:rRNA from 1 species